rnacentral:lncRNA from 1 species
AUUUCUAAACUACACUAAGGCCCCGUUUGGUUGGGGGGAUAAGCAGGGAUAACGAAAGUUAUCCCCGCUAUUCCGCCAAACGGGAUGAAAUUUGGCCGGGAUAUUUUAUCCCGGUCAAAUCUUGCUAUUCCCGGUUAUUCCGGAAUAGAAAGGGAUUUGCUAUUCCACUAUUUUGGUGGAAUAGCACUAUUCCAAUACUUUAUUUCAAACUUAAUUAAAAUUAUAAAUUGAAUUAAAACUAAAUUAU